UUUUACUAUCUGUCUACAUCUUUCUCUAUUUUAUGCUAUCAAAGUAGUGUUUUUUUUAAUGAAAUUUGAGAGCAAAGGUAAGUAUCUACCAAAUAAUUACUUAUCUUUGUCCAAGAAAAAGACAUAGAAACAAAAAAAAAGUUUUUCCUUUAUUUAAACAUAUGGCAAUCAUGGUCCUUACAAGGUUCCAAUACGUUCCUUUGGUGUUCAGAAUAUAUUAACCCUGUCAGUAUGAAAAAUCUAAUAUAGCUUUAGGAUGCCAUAGUAGAGGAUGAUAACAAAAGAUGGAUGUUACCUCUAUUCAUCAGUUUGUUACUAGCUGUGCAACAAGGUAAUUUUGUGAGAGGUACAUGUGAGCAUUGCUCACGUUGGG
rnacentral:lncRNA from 1 species